rnacentral:tRNA from 6 species
AAGAGCAUAGUUUAAGGGUAGAAUCUGAAGCUUCAAACUUCAUCGUCUCAGUUCAAAUCUGAGUGCUCUUG